GAUAAGAACGUAGCGAAAUGCGAUAAGUAAUGUGAAUUGCAGAAUUCAGUGAAUCAUCGAAUCUUUGAACGCACAUUGCGCCCCUUGGUAUUCCGAGGGGCAUGCCUGUUCGAGCGUCAUUACACCACUAAGCUAUGCUUGGUAUUGGGCGUCGUCCUUAGUUGGGCGCGCCUUAAAGACCUCGGCGAGGCCACUCCGGCUUUAGGCGUAGUAGAAUUUAUUCGAACGUCUGUCAAAGGAGAGGAACUCUGCCGACUGAAACCUUUAUUUUUCUAGGUUGACCUCGGAUCAGGUAGGGAUACCCGCUGAACUUAAGCAUAUCAAUAAGCGGAGGA
rnacentral:misc_RNA from 1 species